UCCUCGUUAGUAUAGUGGUCGGUAUCCCCGCCUGUCACGCGGGAGACCGGGGUUCGAUUCCCCGACGGGGAG
rnacentral:tRNA from 1 species